GCCCGGUUAGUUCAGUUGGUAGAGCAUCAGACUUUUAAUCUGAGGGCCAUGGGUUCGAGUCCCAUAUCGGGCU
rnacentral:tRNA from 1 species